rnacentral:rRNA from 1 species
AAUAUUGCGCAAUGGGCGAAAGCCUGACGCAGCGACGCCGCGUGUGGGAUGACGGCCUUCGGGUUGUAAACCACUGUCGGGAGGGACGAAGCUCUGACGGUACCUCCAAAGGAAGCACCGGCUAACUCUGUGCCAGCAGCCGCGGUAAUACAGAGGGUGCGAGCGUUGUCCGGAAUCACUGGGCGUAAAGGGCGCGUAGGUGGCCUGGUAAGUAGGGGGUGAAAUCUCGCGGCUCAACUGCGAGGCUGCCUCCUAAACUGUCAGGCUCGAGCAGAGUAGAGGCAGGUGGAAUUCCCGGUGUAGCGGUGGAAUGCGUAGAGAUCGGGAAGAACAUCGGUGGCGAAGGCGGCCUGCUGGGCUCUUGCUGACACUGAUGCGCGACAGCGUGGGGAGCAAACAGGAUUAGAUACCCUGGUAGUCCACGCCGUAAACGAUGGGUACUAGGCGCCGGGGGGAGCGACCCCUUCGGUGCCGUCGCUAACGCAA